CGCUCGUAGUCGGAUUUCGGGGCGUGCGAGCCGGUCUGCCGCUGGGUAUGCACUGGCUGUGCGCGUCCUUUCUUUCGGAGCUCUCUGCUGCUCUUAGCUGAGCGGUGGAGGGAGACGGAUCGUUUACUUUGAAAAAAUCAGAGUGUUUCAAGCAGGCAGCUCGCUCUUGCAUGGAUUAGCAUGGGAUAAUGAAAUAGGACUCUGGUGCUAUUUUGUUGGUUUCGAACACCGGAGUAAUGAUUAACAGGGACAGUCAGGGGCACUCGUAUUCCGCCGAGAGAGGUGAAAUUCUCAGACCAGCGGAAGACGAACCACUGCGAAAGCAUUUGCCAGGGAUGUUUUCACUGAUCAAGAACGAAAGUUAGGGGAUCGAAGACGAUCAGAUACCGUCGUAGUCUUAACCAUAAACCAUGCCGACUAGGGAUUGGGGGCUGUUCCAUUUGUGACUCCCUCAGCACCUUUCGGGAAACUAAAGUCUUUGGGUUCCGGGGGGAGUAUGGUCGCAAGGCUGAAACUUAAAGGAAUUGACGGAAGGGCACCACCAGGAGUGGAGCCUGCGGCUUAAUUUGACUCAACACGGGGAAACUUACCAGGUCCAGACAUUGUGAGGAUUGACAGAUUGAGAGCUCUUUCUUGAUUCGAUGGGUGGUGGUGCAUGGCCGUUCUUAGUUGGUGGAGUGAUUUGUCUGGUUAAUUCCGUUAACGAACGAGACCGCAGCCUGCUAAA
rnacentral:rRNA from 1 species